CGCAAUAUCCAUGUUCAGAAGUGGCGGUUUGGUGGUGACAACAGAUAAAAGCAUCAGUGAUGUGUUUCGGCUCUUGGCUUCCUGCACUGUUUGACUUCAGUUAAGUACUGCCGCCGCGCUACUUCUUAUGUGAAGGUACUGCUACUACUGCAGCGACGGCCAAUGAGGUAGAAUCGUGGCUGCAACUUGGCGAGUUAAGUAGUGGCUUAACUGAACCUGCAAUCUUGCAAGAACUGUUAUUGAUUUUUCAAUGACCAAGCUGUGGUUCGUUGAUUUUGAUUGUACCUAUAUUCUCGUUCUCUAUUAUACCUCUGAACAAAUAUUAAUCUAGGAGUAUUUCCUACAGAGAUCAAGCAGAACUAAUCUACCGAAUUCAGAUAACUCUGUGCAACAGUGUGUUACCAACCAUAGAAAGAGUGAGCCCAUUAGGUUUUCCUGUGAUAAAAUGGCCUGAAGAUUACAGUUUCAAUUUGUUAUUCCAGUCUAGCUCAGGUGUUUCAUAGACUUUCAGAAAUAUCUAUUCUUGAACUUCACUGAAGUGGGCUUCCUUCUGAGAAAAAAAGUACCAAUGCAAAAAUGAUUUAUUUUGAUCAGUAUUCGCAAAAAAAUUACUUUGAUCAGGGAAGAGGAGGCAGUGAGGGGAGUGACAUGGUGACGGGUUGCUUUGGCAUUCUCUUGCACGGGGAUAGGAAGCUGGAGUAAUCCAAGACCAGGUAUGUCCCCAUUGCUCUUAGGAAGGAUACUACAUUUUUUAAGUCGUUUACUCUUACCACUCGAUCACGGUUUACUAUUACUCUAGGUGAGAACUGAGAUUUGCAAUUUUGUUAAUCUUCCUAAUGUUGCUCGCAUAGACAUAGUGGCCAAGAUGGGACAUUUUAUCUUCCUAAUGUUACCGAGUCAGAUUAAAGAUGGGACAUUUUAUCAGGUGUUGCUCGGAUGAGAGUGACCGAGUGAGAGAGAGGUUUGCUAUACCUUGUAUCUGAGCUAACAUCAUUUGAUUUAAUUGUUGCUUUUGAUCAUGCGUUCAGGACUAGCCUACAGCCAGGAAAGAACCUGAACCCCAAGGUGAGUGCAUCCUGUCUGUUUCCCCACUUAUUUAUUUUUUCUUGGGGAAUUUCGAUAAGGCGGUGCAGGUCGUUGAGGUGAUAUGUGAGUUGGAUAGGCUGGCAUGUAAUUGGUUUGGCAGCGCCUCGUGGUCUGAUCUCCGUUCUUGUUUGCUUCAAGUACGCAUCGUUGUGCUGGUAUUUGCAUUCCAGAAGUGGGUUUCUUGCUUCAUGAGAUUUUGCUUAGUUUCUACUCCCUCCGUUCCUAAAUAUUUGUCUUUUUAGGAUUUUAAAUAGACUACCACAUACGGAUGUAUAUAGACAUAUUUUAGAAUGUAGAUUCACUCAUUUUACUCCGUAUGUAGUUACUUAUUGAAAUCUCUAGAAAGACAAAUAUUUAGGAACGGAGGGAGUAUUUUUGUAUUUCAGAGUGACGUAGCGGAGACAAUUAAUCACUCUGGGAUGAUCGUGAACCCUGAGGGUCGUUAACUGUUGUUACAUAAGAUACAUUGAUCUUUCACGUUAAGUCUUGCACAUAAAAAAAUCCAGGCGGCAAUUUCACGUAUAUGAUUGUUCAGAUGACGAGACAAACAAUUUCGUGAAUUAGACAUUUGCACGUAUAAACAAUACCAGCAAAGUCAAUAUCCUUGGUUUCGGUGUUAUUUCUUCAUUUUAGAACCUUGACCAUAUAUUCCACCAGAUGCAUUACUUUGUUUCCCGGAAACUCUACUCUUAGCUAUUGGUUGUUGAGACACCAGCUUCAUUAGCUUUCUUUACCAAAGACUGUUUUUGUUUCAUAUUCAUGCAUAAACUUCUCUUAGUGUAUUUUUUUAAUUCUCUUAGUAUAUAUAUAUGAUAUAUCCCCUUGAAAUGAAAUUUGACUAAUUAUAUUUUUUCAAAAUACUCAGACUUCUUGUACUAAAAUGUUUCUGUUGUAUUAAUUACCUUGUUACUCAAAUUCCAUGAUGUUGUACUAAUUUUUGCCUUGUUAACUAUUCAGUAGGAAGGAGGGGCUCGGUGUUGAAAAAAGAACAGAGAGAAUUGUGCUGAUCAGGAGAAGUUAACUCAAAAUCCAAGAUGUGACCUUCACAUAGCUCACAAACUUAACCACUAUUUGAUUCUUGGUAACAUUGUACGGGACACAUAACAUCCAGUUGUAUAACUGUAUAAGUAGGGUGUACUUGAUACCUAUGUUGUUCUUUGUUAACUUGUUCGCUGAAUAUUUUUCUUGCGGGAUAAGCAUCCGAUCUAUUCAUCAUCUUUCAAGACAGUACAAAUAAAAAAUUACAACCAGAUCCGUAGACCACCUAGCAAUGACUUGCUCACUGAAUUAAUUUGUUUAAAU
rnacentral:lncRNA from 1 species